UACGGGGGGGCAAGCGUUGUUCGGAAUUACUGGGCGUAAAGGGCUCGUAGGCGGCCAACUAAGUCCGACGUGAAAUCCCCAGGCUUAACCUGGGAACUGCGUCGGAUACUGGAUGGCUUGAAUUCGGGAGAGGGAUGCAGAAUUCCAGGUGUAGCGGUGAAAUGCGCAGAUAUCAGGCGGAACACCGGUGGCGAAGGCGGCUUGCUGGGCCUUACCUGACGCUGAGGAGCGAAAGCGUGGGGAGCGAACAGG
rnacentral:rRNA from 1 species